CUGUCAUUUGAAUUAAUGGGAAACAUGAAAUAACAGCAAUACGGUUUGCUUCCUUAGCUGUUUUGCUGCUUUACUUGUGCACACUUCUAUUGCAUUUACAUAUUAAGAAAGGGGAACUUCAGUGGGAGGAAGAUAGUUUCCAAACAAAACGAGGAAAGAAGGAGAAAUGAGGAUUGUGUCACAAAUGGAGUCUAAAGCACUUCACUCACAAAAGGAAGGUAAAAAUGUACUUAGUGAUAUAAAAUAGGCAUCAUCACAUCCUGUGAUGAUGUUGAGUAACCUCAAGCAGUGACCCUACUCAAGGGGAGAUUCUAGUGUAUGGGCAGCUGCUUGCAAGGGCAACACUCAAAAUGGUUCUUAGGCUGCUUGCUAUUUGUGGGAUACAAUGAUUGACUCAUAGUCAUACAAUGUUUGCACCUCACUAUAUGCACUAGGCUUUUAGUGUAAGACCAGGCUGGGUGGGGGGAAGAGUGCACCAGCACAGAGGGUUAAGGGCUUAUGAAUAUAGAGAAAGAAAGGGAAAAUGCUAGCAUUGUGUCAUGGUGACUGCAUGUAUGAAGCAAUGCUUAUCAGAGCUGUAUUUAAGCAGUUUGAGAUGACUGUGUACAGUGUUUCUCCACAUACAAUCACAGAACUGUUCUCAGCUGAACUCUGAAGCACAGGGUGUUCACUCCUGCAUCCCAUCUAGACUUGGUCUGGCACUUAAGGCUCAUUCCCAGUGUGCCCACAGUAGCUUUCUCCCUAGAGUUUAAUACUGAACGUGGAUGACUGGUCCUACCAGAGCUGGGUUGUGGAGGAAGAUUCCAGCUAGCUAAAAUUCCACUUGCAGAAGAAUGCAACAAAUUCUCUUCUACUGACUAAGCAAGUGUGCUUCCAGUUGGAACAAGAGAUGGAACAGAAGAGCAGUGUCUGAGGCAGUCAGCCCAAAUAAAAAGAUGAACUGAACUAUGGAAAAAUUCCACACCACAACCUUAGUCCAGCCACCUAGGUAUACAAAUCUGAAUAAGAAGUGUGACUCCAGCUGCCCUGAGCUUUGCUGCUUUGAUUUCUUCAUCACUGAAUCUGACCCUGAGCCUGAAUUACUUCAACAAGAGUCCCAAAGGGAACAUUCAUACGGGAUUGAUCUUGUCAUUUCAGUCUUCUUGCUCUUUAUUGAAAGAAAGGAUAAAAAGCCCCUUGCAUCCACACUCUUGCAAGAGAACAUCUUUCUGAAAAGGACCACAGAACACUGGCAACUGCUGAGAGAAAGCAUUAGUAGAAAGAAACAGAGUGAUUGUAAGAGAGAUAAAGAUUUUGUGCAAGAGAACUGCUGAGAUUUUAUAAUGCCAACUACAGAAGAAAAGAAAUUGAGAAAAUACAGGGCACCAUCCAGCAAGUAGUCACUUGAGGCCAAUAAAUUAUGGCUACAACUAUGGAACAGAGAAAAUAAUCUACUUACUAACGUACACAGGAUGAACUACGGAAAGUUCAUGCAAGGAAAAAAAAGUAAAAAACAAACAUGAAGAGCUAUACUUGCUUGUUUUUUGGUGAGAAAAAGGACAAAUGGAGAGGUGGUCUGUAAAAACAUAAUAAAUAGCAACUGCAGUUUCCCCAGUGUUUUUUUAUUUUGUCUGGAAUUACUUACAUGAGAUGAUCAUCAACGUUAUUUGUUGAGGAAGCAUCUUCCAGUGUCCUGGUGGAUGAAAAGAUGAACAUGAGCCAGCAUUAUGAUCUUGCCGCCCUGAAGGUCGACUGUAUCUUUGUCUGCAUCAGAAGAGGGGUGGCCAGCAGGGAAACAAAGGUGAUUGUCCUCUUCUACUCUGCCUUUGUGAUACCCCCAUGUGGAUUACUUCAUUGCUGCCUUUGAGUAUUUGAAGAGAACUUACAAAGAGGAGAGAGACUGACUUCUUACGUGGUCUGAUAAUGUUGGGGGAGCUUAUCAAUGUUUAUAAAUGUAUAAAGGGUGGGUGUCAAAUAGAUGGAGUCAGGCUUUUUCCAGUGGUUCCCAGCAACAAGACAAGGGGCAAUAGGCACAAGCUAGAACAUAGGAAGUUCCAUACAAAUGUGUGGAAAAGCUUCAUUACAUUGUGGGUGUCAGAGCACUGAAACGUUGCCCACAGAGGCUGUGAAGUCUCCUUCUCCAAAGUUAUUCAUCUGGACACUUUCCUGUGCAACCUGAUGUAGGGAACUGCUUAAGGUGGGGGCUGGAAUGGAUGAAUUCCAACAGGUCCCUUGAGCCCCUACAAUUCUGUGAUUCUGCAAUUCUGUGACUUUCAACCUUUCAUCCAUUCAACACAUUGGAUCCUGAAGGUUUUGUUUAUAAUUAUUUUUUUUUCAUUAGAAGACUUGUAAGUAUUUUGAAUGUUAACAAGUAUAGAUGGUCUUAUGCAUGGCAAAACUUAAUACUUUAGCCCUUAUCAUAAAAUUAGGAAAUAUUUGCUGUUCUGAUUUCUGUUUUCCUUAUGAAUCACCUUAUAUUCUCUACUUGCAAUAACUCAGUAAGUAAGACAUUUGAUUCUGCUGUUAACAAUAGGGCUUAAAGGGUGCAUCUCUGCUUUUUUAACUGGUACAAGAUACAGGGCUUGACACAACAUUCAUUAUAUAGUUUUUCUGAUUUCAGUAGAUUUUGGAGCCUGCCUUAAGUGAGCUUUACAUUUCUGAUUCACUCAGGAAAUUAGCCCCCAAACCUCAUGACAAGACAUGACCUCAUCCUUAUAAAGAAGAUUGGACGAUUUGUUCCAGUAAUGGGUAUAAUGGCAAAAAGCCAAGGAGGAUGGGGAUGUGUGUAAAAAUCUUGUCUGUUAUUUCUGUCAACCCAGGAAUAAUGUAAGCUUUGUACAACAUACAAGGCAUCACUAAGAACCUUUGCGUAAGUUGUUAAAGAUGAACUCUGCCCCCUGCAAUACUCAGACAAUUCUUACUGAGAUCAGUAAGUCUGGUCCAUGUGUGUCUGAAUUUAAAAUUUCUUCUAGACAAUAUUGUUUUGUAAUGAUUUCUUUCCAGUGAAUGCUCUCUCAAAUUAUUUCCCUUUCAGCUGAUUGAAUGAGAUGAUUUUUCCUUAGUUCUUCCUUAUUGUUACUUCAGUUUCUCAAGUGAAGUUUCAGAUAGUGAGCUCUUUCAGACCCUUCCACUUUGGGUCAAGUGCUGUCUUUUACUAUUCAUUUCGUGCUCAGAGGUGUAUUCUUAGACCCACAGUGUUAAGUAUUCUUAAUGUUAAAAAAAAGGCAAAUCGUUAUAACAUGAGGGUUUUGUCAAUAAAAUACAUCUGUGGGUAAGAACCGGGUACCUUCUGAUUCAUUUAGAAGCCUUCACUCUACUUUGUUAUACUCAGCCUAAAGUCACAGACUUCCCAUUUACAGAUACUGAUCACCAACAUAAAAAUCCAUGGGAACAUUUAAGAUUUUUUUCCAUAUUUAAAUGUAAUGCCUU
ensembl:lncRNA